GCCUCCGUAGCUCAGUUGGUAGAGCUCCCGCCUUGUAAGCGGAUGGUCGCGGGUUCGAAUCCUGUCGGAGGCU
rnacentral:tRNA from 1 species